rnacentral:rRNA from 1 species
CGCGUGCACUGGUUCGGCCGGGCCUUUCCCUCUGGGGAACCGCAUGCCCUUCACUGGGUGUGUCGGGGAACCAGGACUUUUACUUUGAACAAAUUAGAUCGCUUAAAGAAGGCCUAUGCUCGAAUACAUUAGCAUGGAAUAAUAGAAUAGGACGUGUGGUUCUAUUUUGUUGGUUUCUAGGACCGCCGUAAUGAUUAAUAGGGACAGUCGGGGGCAUCAGUAUUCAAUUGUCAGAGGUGAAAUUCUUGGAUUUAUUGAAGACUAACUACUGCGAAAGCAUUUGCCAAGGAUGUUUUCAUUAAUCAGGAACGAAAGUUAGGGGAUAGAAGACGAUCAGAUACCGUUGUAGUCUUAAUCAUAAACUAUGCCGAAUAGGGAUCGGACGAUGUUAUAUUUUGACUCGUUCGGCCCCUCACAAAAAAGAAAAGUUUGUGGUUUGUGGGGGGAGUAUGGUCGCAAGGGUGAAAUUUAAAAAAAUUGACGGAAGGGCCCCCCCAGGGGGGGCGCCUGGGGUUUAAUUUGUCUCAACAGGGGGAAACUCCCCAGGUCCAGACACAAGUAGGAUUGACAGAUUGAGAGCUCUUUUUUGAUUUUGUGGGUGGUGGUGCAUGGCCGUUCUUAGUUGGUGGAGUGAUUUGUCUGAUUAAUUAUGAUAACGAAGGAGACCUUAACCUGAAAAAUAGCCCGUAUUGCUUUGGCAGUACGCUUGCUUCUUAGAGGGACGAUCGG